AAUAGAUACCCCGGUAGUCCCAGCCGUAAACGAUGCUCGCUAGGUGUCAGGCAUGGCACGACCGUGUCUGGUGCCGCAGGGAAGCCGUGAAGCGAGCCACCUGGGAAGUACGGCCGCAAGGCUGAAACUUAAAGGAAUUGGCGGGGGAGCACAACAACGGGUGGAGCCUGCGGUUUAAUUGGACUCAACGCCGGACAACUCACCGGGGGCGACAGCAAUAUGUAGGCCAAGCUGAAGACUUUGCCUGAAUCGCUGAGAGGAGGUGCAUGGCCGUCGCCAGUUCGUACUGUGAAGCAUCCUGUUAAGUCAGGCAACGAGCGAGACCCGUGCCCACUGUUACCAGCAUGUCCUCCGGGACGAUGGGUACUCUGUGGGGACCGCCGAUGUUAAAUCGGAGGAAGGUGCGGGCCACGGUAGGUCAGUAUGCCCCGAAUCUCCCGGGCUACACGCGGGCUACAAUGGAUGGGACAAUGGGUCCCUCCCCUGAAAAGGGCUGGUAAUCUCACAAACCCAUUCGUAGUUCGGAUCGAGGGCUGUAACUCGCCCG
rnacentral:rRNA from 1 species